rnacentral:lncRNA from 1 species
GCUAUAAGGGAACAGUAAAGGGUCAGAAAUCAUAUUUAUCUUUGCCUUACUCUCUAAUACCUAGUGUAGGACCUCAGUAAAUACACAGUGCAAAUGUGAGAAUGCCAGUAAAUACAGAGAAUGAGUGAAUAAGGAAUCCUAAAAAUUAAGGGAAAUUAAUUAAUCCAUGUAUUUUACAUUAUUUUCGUUUAUUUUAGCUUCAAUUACACUGACGUGCUGAGGAUUUUCAUUUAUACUUUGAUCAGCUCCACACAAUAUGGGCCAUAAACCCAGCCAAGUUUUCUGCAUGGUGGGCACGUUCAGAAAAAUACAUUUGAUGAUCUUUUUUUGGUGCUGUCCCUUUGCCGUCCUAGGCUGCAUCUAUCCCCAGAGCUAUGAUGACACUUGUCAAGCACAGGCUCACCUCCUUUACGGAAGAAUGAAAAGGCUCCCUGCAAGGUGAAUGCAGCCCAAGCCACAGUGCAUGGCCGUGUCCAUGGAACCCAACUGCUCUGUGGAAGCCUCACACUCCCCCCGGCCAGGAGCCCAGGGGUGGGGAAGAAUCUGCACAACUAGGUUGAGAACAGGCAGUCUGACCUCUUCCAUGGAGUACUUUAAGGCAAUGAUUUUCAAAAUGCACUUUAAAGAACUCUAGGAAUUUCUUCAGAGCUGCUUCAUGGACUCUGGCGAAGAGACAGGAAAUCCAACUGUUUGGGAUCCCGCAAGGUCAUCCACAUGGCAUAUGGCAUGUUUUACAUACUUAGCCACCACACGGGCUUUUCGGGGUAAACAGUGUGUUCUGUGUGUUUGUCUUGUCUCAGAAGCUAAGCUUUAGGAUGAUAAAAACCUGAGUACAUCUCCCCACCCCUUCUCUAGCAUCAUCAAAGAAAAAUCAGCUCUAAUUAUGUGAUAGCAUGGACCAUUUUACAAGGAAGCUGCAGUAGGAGUAGAAACAGACACAUGUAAGGGCGCCUGGGUGGCUCAGUCAGUUAAGCAUCUGCCUGAUCAGGUCAUGAUCUCAGGAUCCUGGGAUUGAACCCAGAGUCAGGUUCCCUGCUCAGCGGGGAGUCUGCUUCACCCUCUCCCUCUGCCCCUCCGCCCUCUUGUGCACGCUCUCUCUCUCGCGCUCGCUCUCUCUCAAAUAAACAAAAAUAAAAAUCUUAACUUAAAGAAAAG